rnacentral:rRNA from 1 species
GCAAGUCGAGCGCGCCUUCGGGCGAGCGGCGGACGGGUUAGUAACGCGUGGGAACGUGCCCAGAUCUACGGAAUAGCCACUGGAAACGGUGAGUAAUACCGUAUACGCCCUUCGGGGGAAAGAUUUAUCGGAUUUGGAUCGGCCCGCGUUAGAUUAGGUAGUUGGUGGGGUAACGGCCUACCAAGCCUACGAUCUAUAGCUGGUUUUAGAGGAUGAUCAGCAACACUGGGACUGAGACACGGCCCAGACUCCUACGGGAGGCAGCAGUGGGGAAUCUUGGACAAUGGGGGCAACCCUGAUCCAGCCAUGCCGCGUGAGUGAAGAAGGCCCUAGGGUCGUAAAACUCUUUCGCCUGUGAUGAUAAUGACAGUAGCAGGUAAAGAAACCCCGGCUAACUCCGUGCCAGCAGCCGCGGUAAUACGGAGGGGGUUAGCGUUGUUCGGAAUUACUGGGCGUAAAGCGCACGUAGGCGGAUUAGAAAGUUAGAGGUGAAAUCCCGGGGCUCAACCCCGGAACUGCCUUUAAAACUACUAGUCUAGAGUUCGAGAGAGGUGAGUGGAAUUCCGAGUGUAGAGGUGAAAUUCGUAGAUAUUCGGAGGAACACCAGUGGCGAAGGCGGCUCACUGGCUCGAUACUGACGCUGAGGUGCGAAAGUGUGGGGAGCAAACAGGAUUAGAUACCCUGGUAGUCCACACCGUAAACGAUGAAUGCCAGUCGUCGGGUAGUAUACUAUUCGGUGACACACCUAACGGAUUAAGCAUUCCGC